GUGCUUGUUUUGGCGGCACAUAUACUAAAAUUGGAAUGAUACAGAGAAGAUUAGCAUGGCCCCUGUGCAAGGAUGACAUGCACAUUCAUGAAGUGUUCCAUAUUUUU
rnacentral:snRNA from 1 species